rnacentral:rRNA from 1 species
GACGAACGCUGGCGGCGUGCCUAAUACAUGCAAGUCGAGCGAAGUUUUUCUGGUGCUUGCACUAGAAAAACUUAGCGGCGAACGGGUGAGUAACACGUAAAGAACCUGCCUCAUAGACUGGGACAACUAUUGGAAACGAUAGCUAAUACCGGAUAACAGCAUUAACUGCAUGGUUGAUGUUUGAAAGUUGGUUAUGCUAACACUAUGAGAUGGCUUUGCGGUGCAUUAGCUAGUUGGUGGGGUAAAGGCCCACCAAGGCGACGAUGCAUAGCCGACCUGAGAGGGUGAUCGGCCACACUGGGACUGAGACACGGCCCAGACUCCUACGGGAGGCAGCAGUAGGGAAUCUUCCGCAAUGGGCGAAAGCCUGACGGAGCAACGCCGCGUGAGUGAAGAAGGAUUUCGGUUUGUAAAGCUCUGUUGUUAGGGAAGAAUGGAUAUGUAGUAACUAUACAUGUACGAGACG